rnacentral:rRNA from 1 species
GACGAACGCUGGCGGCGUGCCUAAUACAUGCAAGUCGAACGCAGUGGGGACGGGUGAGUAACACGUGGGUAACCUCCCAUCAGAGGGGAUAACACUUGGAAACAGGUGCUAAACCGAUACUGAUGGAUGGACCCGCGGGGCAUUAGCUAGUUGGUGAGGUAACGGCUCACCAAGGCCACGAUGCAUAGCCGGCCUGAGAGGAUGAUCAGCCACACUGGGACUGAGACACGGCCCAGACUCCUACGGGAGGCAGCAGUGGGGAAUAUUGGGCAAUGGGCGAAAGUCUGACCGAGCAACGCCGCGUGAGUGAAGAAGGUUUUCGGAUCGUAAAGCUCUGUUGUUAGAGAAGCGGUAUCUAACGAGGAAGCCACGGCUAACUACGUGCCAGCAGCCGCGGUAAUAC